UUGUGAAGGUGAAACACCGGCUAUGCCCGUAUGCAGGGGGGCUACAAAAACCUGUAUUAUCUGGGGAAUAAUAAACUCCUUAGUGAGGGGAAAAGACUACAAUACACUAAAGAAUCUGCAGAAAUGCGGUCACGUCGAUUUAAAACUUCUACGUGGGGUGAUAUAUCAAGCUUAGAGAUUAAGAGAGUGUGUCGGAAAAGCAGCACUUCAUAAAACGAGCUGCGUGUUUAAAACAGACCUAUUCCUUUUCCGCUGCUUAUCUUUCAAUUUGCUACUAGCCUCGCAAAUUUCUCAGGAAUAGCACUUUCAGCAGAGGAAACAAAUGACCGGCAAAGGAAAGAUGACCAGCAUGAACAUGAAUGAACAGCAGCUCCCCCACUGGUGACGACAGGGGAUUUACCCUUACUACAUGCCUCCAGAGACCACAGGAAUCCCCAGCAAUACACAUUUUUGCUUCCUCCCAGCUCGCAAGACAACUGUACCAGAAAGUCAUGCUGGAUAGACAUUUCUCCUUGAUGUUUCCACAACAAAUAUAAUCAAACAUCAGAAAAUAGAAUUAAUAUAGAC